rnacentral:pre_miRNA from 9 species
UCGCUCACAAAGUGGUUGUCGUAUGCGUUUUUACUUUGGCCAUAUCACAGCCAGCUUUGAUGAGCGAUG